rnacentral:rRNA from 1 species
CCUACGGGGGGCAGCAGUGAGGAAUAUUGGUCAAUGGGAGAGAUCCUGAACCAGCCAAGCCGCGUGAGGGAAGACGGCCCUAUGGGUUGUAAACCUCUUUUGUCGGAGAACAAAACCCGGGACGUGUCCCGGACUGCGUGUAUCCGAAGAAAAAGCAUCGGCUAACUCCGUGCCAGCAGCCGCGGUAAUACGGAGGAUGCGAGCGUUAUCCGGAUUUAUUGGGUUUAAAGGGUGCGUAGGCGGUCCGUUAAGUCAGCGGGAAAAUUGCGGGGCUCAACCCCGUCGAGCCGUUGAAACUGGCAGACUUGAGUUGGCGAGAAGUACGCGGAAUGCGCGGGGUAGCGGUGAAAUGCAUAGAUAUCGCGCAGAACUCCGAUUGCGAAGGCAGCGUACCGGCGCCAGACUGACGCUGAGGCACGAAAGCGUGGGGAUCGAACAGGAUUAGAGACCCCAGUAGUC